rnacentral:rRNA from 1 species
GACUGCGUGAAGUCGGAAUCGCUAGUAAUCGCGAAUCAGAAUGUCGCGGUGAAUACGUUCCCGGGCCUUGUACACACCGCCCGUCACACCAUGGGAGUGGGUUGCACCAGAAGUAGCUAGUCUAACCCUCGGGAGGACGGUUACCACGGUGUGAUUCAUGACUGGGGUGAAGUCGUAACAAGGUAGCCGUAGGGGAACCUGCGGCUGGAUCACCUCCUUA